UAUUGCUCAGGAUGGUCUUGAACUCCUGGGCUCAAGUGAUCCGCCUGCCUUGGCCUCCCAGAAUGCCAGGAUUACAGAUAAACAGCUUGAUGGAUUGCUGAGGCAGAGUGCACCGAGCAAGGGUUCAGUCCUCCAUAGAGCUCAGAGCAAAAGGAAUGACCCAGCCGGGAUGAACUUGAACCUAUGGCCACCUAGCUCUGGUUUCUGCUUGGACAUUUUAUUUCAAUCUUAUGGCCUGCCUUGCGCUCCAAGGGUUACUUAUUUCCUCUGCACAUAUUUUAUUUUGAUGCCAAAAUUUCAGAUCUGUUUUCUUAAGAGCAGAAGGUCUUGACCUCAAAGCCCGGGCCAUCACACAGCUCUCUGUGGAGUGGGGUGAGGGAGGCCAGCUGCCGGUCACCUUCUGCUCCAGCACCGUGGGAGGCCUGAGUGGCAAAGCUCCAGCCCCGCUGCUCCCGGGCGGUGUCCGCAACAAGAGGCUUCCGCCCCAUCCCACCAGCCAUCCACGGAGACGCCCUCCCCAGAGGUCAGGAGGGUAGCGGGGGAAGGAAAUGCCAAUCAAUCCAUCAAAGCCCCGCCCUCCCGGGGCUCCUAGGCCCCGGGAGCUGCGUCUGCGCAUCCUUGACCCACUCCUGGGGGCCAGGAGCUGGGCGAGCCGGGGAAGUGCAUUUGGUAAUGAUUCUCGAUUUCCUGUUUGGUUUCUGUCCAGGGGGCUUUGGGAUAGGCUAACUCGUAUUAUAUGUGUACACAUGCACAUUUC
rnacentral:lncRNA from 1 species